UCUCCGUAGGUGAACCUGCGGAGGGAUCAUUACAAAAAGAAAGGCAGAUCGAAAGUGAUGCCAAUCUUCAACCCUUUGUUGUUAUAUCCUGUUGCUUGCCUGACCUAGGUUAGGAUCAAGCCAUUUAUAUUCUAUUUUAUCUAUCAGUCUGAAAAUUGAUUCUAAAUCAAAAACAAAACUUUCAACAACGGAUCUCUUGGUUCUGGCAUCGAUGAAGAACGCAGC
rnacentral:misc_RNA from 1 species